UACGUAGGGCGCGAGCGUUGUCCGGAAUUAUUGGGCGGAAAGAGCUCGUAGGCGGCUUGUCACGUCGAUUGUGAAAGCCCGAGGCUUAACCUCGGGUCUGCAGUCGAUACGGGCUGGCUAGAGUGUGGUAGGGGAGAUCGGAAUUCCUGGUGUAGCGGUGAAAUGCGCAGAUAUCAGGAGGAACACCGGUGGCGAAGGCGGAUCUCUGGGCCAUUACUGACGCUGAGGAGCGAAAGCGUGGGGAGCGAACAGG
rnacentral:rRNA from 1 species